UUAAGAACUUAAUACAGAGCCUUUCAAUAUUGCUAAAUUAAUGAAGUAGAACUCUUUUUGCCUUGAUAAGGAAAGGACGCUAUAACACGGAAAACUUGGCUUUAUUUAAUAAAAUUAAAAGGUUUAAAGCGACCGUUUACUAUGAAAUAAAAAAGGAUAUUAGAUUGCAAAAGUCCCAACAUAAUUCCAGCAACUCAAUGAGUAUAGUGAGACCUAUUGGAUUUACUAUAACACAGAAGGAUGAUACGCUAUUGAGGGACUGGAAGUGUUCAGAAGAAGCAG